GAUGAACGCUAGCGGCAGGCCUAACACAUGCAAGUCGAGGGGUAUAGUUCUUCGGAACUAGAGACCGGCGCACGGGUGCGUAACGCGUAUGCAAUCUACCUUUUACAGGGGAAUAGCCCAGAGAAAUUUGGAUUAAUGCCCCAUAGUGUUAUAGAAUCGCAUGGUUUUAUAACUAAAGUUCCAACGGUAAUAGAUGAGCAUGCGUCCCAUUAGUUAGUUGGUAAGGUAACGGCUUACCAAGACAAUGAUGGGUAGGGGUCCUGAGAGGGAGAUCCCCCACACUGGUACUGAGACACGGACCAGACUCCUACGGGAGGCAGCAGUGAGGAAUAUUGGACAAUGGGCGCAAGCCUGAUCCAGCCAUGCCGCGUGCAGGAAGACGGUCCUAUGGAUUGUAAACUGCUUUUGUACAGGAAGAAACACUCCCUCGUGAGGGAGCUUGACGGUACUGUAAGAAUAAGGAUCGGCUAACUCCGUG
rnacentral:rRNA from 1 species